AUCGAGCAUCCGACCCAGCCUCCUUGUUUUUCACUGUUCGGACCUGCAAGCACCAUUUCCGAAGAUUUCUCUGCCGUUAGCCCACCGUCGGACUCGCCACCAGCCAUAAAAUGCUCCUCUCUUCCUCCUUGUUCUAAUCAUCUUGUUUUAGCCGGAGGAGGAAGAAUCAAAGGUAAAAAUGGUGUUGGGCUUGUUGUGGAGGUUGUAUUCAUGUAGGUAGCUUGGCCGGAAUUGGAUGUUGGUGUGAUGACGUGUGAAACCCACGAGCCGCCACUAGUGGUGGUGCAUGCAGCCACCCAAAAUGCCUAAUUUUUGAUGUAUUGAGCCCUCGAGCGAGGAGGACACCAGCAGAUAGCAGGAUUAGCUGCGAGGCUCACCUGUGAGUGGACCUUUGUUUUAAAAUAAAUUAUGCAUGUAGUAUGGAUUUUCAAGCAUGGGAUUAAUUCAUGACUAGAAAAUAAAUAACUUUUCAAAUGUGAUUUUUUGUUGAAAGAAGAGAGUUUUAAAAGGAAUGAGUUGACAAGGAAGCUACUAUUCAACGCAUGCGUACAUUACCUGGUCGGCAGUCCCCUCCAGGUAAUAGUCUAGUCAACAAUCCCUUCCAAACAAUAUUCUAGUUGGCAGUCCCCUCCAGGUAAUAGUCUGGUCAACAAUCCCUUCCAAACAAUAUUCUAGUUGGCAGUCCCCUCCAGAAUAUUUCGGUCGGCAGUCCCCUCCAGAUGACAUAGGGUAGUUAGUCGGCAGUCCCCUCUAACUACUUGUGGUUAGUCUGCAGUCCCCUCUAACCACCGCCUCCUAAAUUCCGGUCGGCAUUCCCCUCAGAUGCGUCAUCUGGGUGGUAGUUCCCUCCAGAUGGCAUGAGAUGACUAGUCAGCAACCCUCUCUAGUCAACGAACGUUUUACACGAAGAGUUUGACUUUAAAGGAAGAGCUUUUUACCAAUAACUACAAAAUAACACUACUAUUUACC